rnacentral:rRNA from 1 species
UACGGAGGGUGCAAGCGUUAUCCGGAUUCACUGGGUUUAAAGGGUGCGUAGGUGGGCUGGUAAGUCAGUGGUGAAAUCUCCAGGCUUAACUUGGAAACUGCCAUUGAUACUAUCAGUCUUGAAUACCGUGGAGGUCAGCGGAAUAUGUCAUGUAGCGGUGAAAUGCUUAGAUAUGACAUGGAACACCAAUUGCGAAGGCAGCUGGCUACACGAAUAUUGACACUGAUGCACGAAAGCGUGGGGAUCAAACAGG